UUUCUAGCUUGCUAGAAGAUGACGAGCGGCGGACGGGUGAGUAAUGCUUGGGAACAUGCCUUGAGGUGGGGGACAACCAUUGGAAACGAUGGCUAAUACCGCAUAAUGUCUACGGACCAAAGGGGGCUUCGGCUCUCGCCUUUAGAUUGGCCCAAGUGGGAUUAGCUAGUUGGUGAGGUAAAGGCUCACCAAGGCGACGAUCCCUAGCUGGUUUGAGAGGAUGAUCAGCCACACUGGAACUGAGACACGGUCCAGACUCCUACGGGAGGCAGCAGUGGGGAAUAUUGCACAAUGGGCGCAAGCCUGAUGCAGCCAUGCCGCGUGUGUGAAGAAGGCCUUCGGGUUGUAAAGCACUUUCAGUCAGGAGGAAAGGUUAGUAGUUAAUACCUGCUAGCUGUGACGUUACUGACAGAAGAAGCACCGGCUAACUCCGUGCCAGCAGCCGCGGUAAUACGGAGGGUGCGAGCGUUAAUCGGAAUUACUGGGCGUAAAGCGUACGCAGGCGGUUUGUUAAGCGAGAUGUGAAAGCCCCGGGCUUAACCUGGGAACUGCAUUUCGAACUGGCAAACUAGAGUGUGAUAGAGGGUGGUAGAAUUUCAGGUGU
rnacentral:rRNA from 1 species